AGUUAUGGGUUGGCAGUGGAAGUAAGGAUAUUUUGCUGGAGAUCCCUACCUACCUAUGGCCUUCCAAGGUUCUUCAAAUUACUUCAAGUUGCAUGAGAAAGACUGCCCUUUUCUACACAGUACUGGAAGGCACAUGUUUCCGACAAUUGUGGUAUUCUCCAUGGGAAGGAGGAUGUGUAUGAGUAUGAUACAACCCAAAAGGGAUGUGGUGCUACGUCCUUUCUCUCUUUCCCUUACUUCUUCUAGUGAGACUUUUCAGCAAUUUGCUUCAUGCUAUUGCUAGAGUUUGUCAAAUCCUUCCAUGAACUACUCUAAGCACAAGCCUGAUGGAAAGCUAAUCCAGCAGGAAAAAGAAGUUCUCCAGUGGUUUAGAAAUUGAAUUAUGCCAGCUAAGGUCCUGUUGAAUCUGAGACCGCAUUCACAUCAGGAAAAGACCAGAGUGACUGAGGCUGUUCAGUGGAGUAUGGUGCAAAGAGGGAUUUCGUCCUUUUGCUUCAAUAAACUGUUAGAUCUCAUCAGCUAUAACAUUUAACCCUAUCUUAGAUCUGCCUUGUACUCUUUGUAUGUCUCCUUACCUCCAGCCAAAAAGUGUCAGUGGAGGAAAAGCACAAUCUCUGCUCACAUUCAGAGGUUUUAUUCCUCCAGUGUGCCUCCCUGGGGAAAAGCAGACUAGAAGACAAACACUGAGAUGGAAGUCGCUUUGAAACUUCCCCUGCCAUCAAAUGUCCAGCUGCAAUAAUAAUAAAAGUGGCAACUCAAAAAGGAUCUCUGAGAGCCAGCACUAUAAUCUAUUGAAUCUACCUCAACCAGGCCUAAAACUAGGUGGUUUUAUAAAAAAUUGGAAAAAUAUGUUUACAUGUAAGACUUUCUUUUGGCUUCUCCUUAAACACUGUGUGAUGUUUCUGGGUAGAGAUUAUAAUGGGUAAUGCUUUAUCAGUUUUGAAGGUUUUAUUAUGCAUUUUACUUUUAAUCUUCACCUUGAUCAGAACUAAGUUUCCCGUGCAUUCAGACAAAGUAUAAUUCUUAAGCAAAAUUACCUAAUACAGUAAAAAAAAUAAUUUUUGUUUUAAGAUUAUCAAAUGUGUUUUGCUUUGUUUUCCUUUGUGUUGAAGCUAAUUCAAACUGUUUCAAGGGUCCCAAUGUUUCCUUUAACAGAGACCUUAUGCUUUGCCACAAAAACUCUGAUUUAAUGCAUAAUUCAAGAAAACUUUUAUAGCAAACAAUAAAUGUGAUUGGUCUUGUAUGAUCCAGGAGCUAGACUAUGUGUUCCUAAAUGCCAUCUACUGGUUUAGUGAUCUUGCAUACUGAUCAUCUACUUAAUUAAAAAAAGCUGU
ensembl:lncRNA